UAACACCGCUGCUGGGGGGCCGGAGCUCUGACAGGACGAGUAGAGCUGCUCCUUGCAGGCUGACCGCGGCUGGUACAUCGCUUCAUGUUGGAAAGUGCUCUCUCGCCUCUGGCUGCUGUAAUAUUCCGGCGAGUGAUUGGGAAGCUCCAGAAGAACUAAUUGUCCCGCGUCUGAUGCGUGGCAUUAAAGUGAGAGGAGCGAUGAAAAAUGCCAAGGAAAAUCCCCGCCUACCUGCACGAGUUUCCCUUUGUGCAUGGAACGGACCCAAACUUACGUAGAUCUGCUUUAUUGGCAUGCGAGGAAAAAAAAAAAAGUGAGAUUGAAAGGGAACGAUGACUAGAGAAGAAGGAAAAAAAAAAAAAGAGAAAAGCUCGGAUGAGAGCCCGAAGUUUCCUGCUUUGCAGGAGCCGAACAGCUCCCACAUCUGAUUAGAGAGUUACGCAAUAUUUGUAGCUCUGCAAACCCAGCGAUUAUCUGGCAGGAGCAGCCCCGCAUGCAAAUUUUUGGGCAAAGAAAUGGGAUGUCCCGAUAACU